rnacentral:rRNA from 1 species
CCUACGGGGGGCAGCAGUGGGGAAUAUUGGGCAAUGGGCGCAAGCCUGACCCAGCAACGCCGCGUGAAGGAAGAAGGCUUUCGGGUUGUAAACUUCUUUUGUCAGGGAAGAGUAGAAGACGGUACCUGACGAAUAAGCCACGGCUAACUACGUGCCAGCAGCCGCGGUAAUACGUAGGUGGCAAGCGUUGUCCGGAUUUACUGGGUGUAAAGGGCGUGUAGCCGGGUUGACAAGUCAGAUGUGAAAUCCUGCGGCUUAACCGCAGAACUGCAUUUGAAACUGUUGAUCUUGAGUACUGGAGAGGCAGAUGGAAGGCCUAGUGGAGCGGUGAAAUGCGUAGAUAUGAGGAGGAACACCAGUGGCGAAGGCGGUCGGAUGGACAGCAACUGACGGUGAGGCGCGAAAGCGUGGGGAGCAAACAGGAUGAGAUACCCUAGUAGUC